UCCAUGGUGGCUCAGAUGGUAAAGAGUCUGCCUGCAAUGCAGGAGACCCAGGUUUGAUUCCUGGGUUGGGAA
rnacentral:tRNA from 1 species